GCAGGCGCUGUGGGCAGCCGGGAGCGGGGUGCCCCCGGCCGGCUGCCUGCGUCCAGUCGCGUCCCGUGCCUUCCCCCGACGGCGCCUCGUCUCUCGCGCCUCCCGCCCGCCCGCGCCCGCGGGGCGAAGGUGGCGAGGAGCUCUUGAGCGAAGCCCGCAGGCAGAAGUGGCGGGGACAGGCCUGGCCUUGUUCGGCAGUGGCGGAGGGAAGCGGCGCGUCUGCGCUGCGGCCGCCGUGCACAGUGGUGCUGUGUGUCCUGGUUAGGCCCGAGGAAAAAGACACCUUUUCUUCAGCAAUAAGGGCGGCGCGUGCUACUCAGGGCCUAGCUCGUAGGAUUUAUUGCACAACUCUAAGCCUACAGAUGCUGCUCCGUGGAAGAACUCACACAAGGGCGUGCUGCAGUGACACUGGAAACUUCUGGCAAAUAUGGAAAGGAAACAGCAAAAUAAUAACAUUCUAAUCCUCUGCAAAUAUAAUCACCUAAGAGGCCACUGGAGAGAAGAGGAACAAACACAUGCAAAUAUGGCCUUGCAUAUGACUUAGCUCCUGAAAGGACACAAUUCUAAUUCACCCACUGUGAAAAAAAGGACUCCUCUAAGAAAAAAGUGUUCUCAAAAGACGAAAUAAGCUGCAACUUUCCAGCUUUGUUCUGGGACCCUCUCCAAGCAGUACAAGAGGAGGACAGUGCGGAAGUCCACCUUACAGCCUACAGAUUAGCAAUGAUGCUCCACCUGACAGCUUCUUGUUUUGUAUGGUGAGUGUAUGCCUGUGGAAUAUGCAGUGGCAAUAAAACUCUGAUUAAAAAUGAUGACAUGAUGGUAUUGCUGCUACUGCCUGUGGUAGUAGCAGUGUAUACACAUGUGAGCCAUAUAUAGUAUAUAAGGUUUUCAUUAGUAUUUUUAAAAUGGGGUUGUUUUGUUGUUGCUUUUGAUAGCUUCUGGUAGGUUUUCUGCAAAUAAAGAUUAAAUAACCUUUUAAUUCACUCUUUAAUGAAGUUAGUUGCCUCCUGUCAACAGCAAUGCGCAUACCAGUCUCCAUACUGUGUGCAGCUUGAUGAAAUAUUCCAACCCUUUGAGUCCUCUCAUCUGCGUGGCUCAGCACAGGUUGGUGUGGUUUUGAUCUGGAGAUGAGUAAAUUCAUUUCUUGCCAAGUUGACUCAGAGUUAAGUAGCAGCAUGCGAUUUCCUUUUAAGGAUCAUAUGCCUUUCUCAUAUUAUAGAAUAAGAGCUAGCAUGCAGCCAAAAAUUAUGUAGAUGGAAAAGUAGGCAGGCAAGUGCAAGCUCUUGUGUUAACCAUAGAACUUUUUGAAAAUAAAUUUUGAAAUAUAAUUUAUUAAUAGGGAGUGGCUUAGCAUAAAUGGCAGUGUAGGGAACCACAAAUUUACUGUCACUCUGUAAUUUUCAGAGCCUCUUUUGCUUAGUGUAGGAAUAAGUGGAUAAAUGUAUGCCAGCACCAUCCAAUGAGGAAAAGAGUUGGUAAGAAAAGUCUGGGUUUCUCCUUGCUAAGCAAAAUACUCAAACAAAACAAAACAAAAUUAAUCAAACUGCAACCUGAGUCAGAGGAAAACCUCAAAGAGUAGACAGUGCCAACCCCACGUUGCAGAGUGUCAGUGCAUCUGCAGACAAAGCUCUUAGUGACUGUAACAGAGCCGAGAUCGUGCAGAGUUCUUCUGUAUAGGUCUCCAUUAAGUUAUACACCCCCACACUUCAUUUUCUAAUGAAAUGCUACCUGCAUAGUUUUUUUUGGGGGGGGGGUGUUUCCCACAAGACUAUACCAUGUUCAGAGCCAGAUAUCCUCCCUCUGUUUAACUCAUGCCUGAACACAGUGAGAUCUGAUUUCAUAGGAGCAUUUGAGUAUACUGUUAUACAGAUAGAAGAUAUGUAUAUUUAUAAUAAGAAGAAGCCAAAGUUGUGCCUUCCUGCAUUUACCUAUCAGCAGGAAAAUAGUUUAUAACUCCAACAAGAACAUCUUACUUGAAAAUCCCUUGGAAGUAGGGAAGUGUACUAACUUGAAAGCUUCUUGUAACAGUUUUUGGGGGGCACAGGGUGUUUUGGAAAAUGAAAAUUACCUCAAGUAUUCUUACAUUAGUCAAAAAUGGAAAACAGCCCACUUGCCUCAUAUGUGUAAACUCACAUUUCUGUAUUCAGCUUUGGAGUUUCCAAACAUUUAGACGAAUUCAGAAAUUGAUCAGAAGUAUUCCGAAGCAAAAUUAAAAGUUUCCAGACCAGGUUCAUGAAAGUACCUCCUCCACAGGACUUCACCUUGCACAGUGUUCAGGACUGCACAAUGAUUUUAGUGUGCCUGGGAUCAGUCUGCGGAAGGGACUUGGAACUCGGACCCUCCUUUUUUUGAAACACCUAAAAACUUCGGGAUUCUGGACCUCACAUGCAGCUCAGAACUGUCCAGCCUUUUUGAAGCUGUUGUCUGCCGCAAGCUGGGGAUUUAAAAAGGUAUGCUGCUAUGUAUCUGUGCAAGACAGCCAAGAAGCAUUUGUGCUAGAGAGAGAGAGAUCUGUCCCCUCAGCCGCCACGUGGGCGGCACUGGUUUCAUUGUUUAAUUUUGGGGUCAGACUCUACAUAAUUUUAAGUAACUAGUAACUUGUGCUGUUGCUCUGGAAUUACAUUAGUACAAGCAACAUGAGACUUGAGCCCGUCCCUCUUCUUUUUCUCCUUUAUUUUUAAAUUUGAGUCACAUAGGCUAUGUCUUUUCUUCGUAAUUAAAAUAAUAAAUCAA